rnacentral:rRNA from 1 species
AGAGUUUGAUCCUGGCUCAGAUUGAACGCUGGCGGCGUGCUUAACACAUGCAAGUCGAGCGAGAAAGGUUCCUUCGGGAGCUGAGUACAGCGGCGCACGGGUGAGUAACGCGUGGAUGAUCCCCCCCUGGGACUGGGAUAACAGCGGGAAACUGCUGCUAAUACCGGAUACGCUGCAUUUUUCAACGAUGUGGGAAAGGUGGCCUCUGCUUGCAAGCUGCCGACCAGGGAUGAGUCCGCGUCUCAUUAGCUUGAUGGUGGGGUAAUGGCCUACCAUGGCGACGAUGAGUAGCCGGCCUGAGAGGGUGGCCGGCCACACUGGGACUGGAACACGGCCCAGACUCCUACGGGAGGCAGCAGUGGGGAAUAUUGCGCAAUGGGCGAAAGCCUGACGCAGCGACGCCGCGUGAGGGAAGAAGGCUCUAGGGUCGUAAACCUCUGUCAGGAGGGAAGAAACGCAUGGAGAGGAAAUGCUCUAUGCCUGACGGUACCUUCAAAGGAAGCACCGGCCAACUCCGUGCCAGCAGCCGCGGUAAUACGGAGGGUGCGAGCGUUAAUCGGAAUUACUGGGCGUAAAGCGUGCGUAGGCGGUAUGGCAAGUCAGGUGUGAAAGCCCUCGGCUCAACCGAGGAACUGCACUUGAAACUGCCAAACUGGAGUUCGGGAGAGGGUAGCGGAAUUCCGGGUGUAGGGGUGAAAUCCGUAGAUAUCCGGAGGAACACCGGUGGCGAAGGCGGCUACCUGGACCGAUACUGACGCUGAGGUACGAAAGCGUGGGGAGCAAACAGGAUUAGAUACCCUGGUAGUCCACGCUGUAAACGAUAUGGACACUAGGUGCUGGGGGCUUGACCUUCGGUGCCGUAGCUAACGCGUUAAGUGUCCCGCCUGGGGAGUACGGUCGCAAGGCUGAAACUCAAAGAAAUUGACGGGGGCCCGCACAAGCGGUGGAGCAUGUGGUUUAAUUCGAUGCAACGCGAAGAACCUUACCUACUCUUGACAUCCACAGAACUUUUCAGAGAUGAAUUGGUGCCUUCGGGAACUGUGAGACAGGUGCUGCAUGGCUGUCGUCAGCUCGUGUUGUGAAAUGUUGGGUUAAGUCCCGCAACGAGCGCAACCCCUAUCCUUAGUUGCCAGCACGUAAUGGUGGGAACUCUAGGGAGACUGCCGGUGAUAAACCGGAGGAAGGUGGGGACGACGUCAAGUCAUCAUGGCCCUUACGAGUAGGGCUACACACGUGCUACAAUGGCGCAUACAAAGGGUUGCGAAGCCGCGAGGUGGAGCCAAUCCCAAAAAGUGCGUCGUAGUCCGGAUUGGAGUCUGCAACUCGACUCCAUGAAGUCGGAAUCGCUAGUAAUCGUAGAUCAGAAUGCUACGGUGAAUACGUUCCCGGGCCUUGUACACACCGCCCGUCACACCAUGGGAGUGGGUUGCACCAGAAGUGGCUAGUCUAACUGUUUACAGGGGACGGUCACCACGGUGUGAUUCAUGACUGGGGUAAAGUCGUAACAAGGUAACC